GCGCGCGUCAGCCUCGUCGCGGCAUUCGAUCCCGAAACAUCGUUGCUCCCGACCAUGAGACAGUCGGGUGCCGGUUACGGGACGUCGCCUCCACCGUCACCUUCGACGUCCCCACCGUCUUUGUUGCCAUCGUCGUCGUCGUCGUCGUCGUCGUCGUCGUCCUUGUCGUCGUCGUCGUCGUCGUCGUCGUCGUCGUCGUUAUUGUUGUCGUCCUCGUCGUCGUCGUCGUCGUCGUUGACAUCUUCGUCAUCGUCGUCCUCGUCGUCACCUUGGUCGUCGUUCUCCUUCUCGUGGCGUUCGUCGACGUGCCACGAAAAAAACGAUUACAAGACGCUCGUUUUCGUUCUUAAAUCAUCGUAAUCGUAAAAUCAAGAGAUUUUAAGGAUCGUUCCUUUCCCCAACCCACUUUCACCGAACAUCCUCCACUCCCCACCCUUCCCAUCCUAAGAAAUCUUUCUUCUUUUUCAUCAUCUUCUUCUUCUUCUUCUUCUUCUUUUUCUUCUUUUUCUUCUUCUUCUUCUUCUUCUUCUUCCCGUUUUCUUUCGUCGAUUCCUCAUAUCUUUUAUCUUCAUCUUCUUAUUAUAAUUUCUUAUAAAUCUUCUACAUCUUCUGUUUCUUCAUUCUCUUUUUCUUCUUCUUCUACUUCUUUUUCUUCUUUUUUUUUUCUUCUUCUUAUUAUCCUCAUUUUAUCCACUUUUAAAGAUCUUUUUAAAGUCUUCUUCCUUUCAACGAUUAUCUUCAAAGUGAGGGAACGAACGAACGAACGAACGAACGAACGAACGAACGAACGCACGCACGCCGGGGGAUACAGGAUAGAGAUAAGAGAGCAAGAAGGAGAGAGAAAUAAAGACGAGUCGUAUCAGUACACAGGACAAUCUGGUUUCUUAAGGUAACAGUGUUGGAAAGACUACAGGAGAAAUCGUAAGAAAAUUUUCUUUUUCUUUUUUUUUUUUUUUACGAUCUCACAAUCGUAUACAAGGUAUUCAGGACAAUCAUUAAUCUGAGAAUCAUCGAACGAAAGAGAACUUUUUACAUCUACCUCGAUCAUGCUCAGCCCAAAGAUGCAAAGAACUGUGAGGGUAAACGACUCUCAGCUAGUGAUGCUCUCGGAGAGAGCCCAUUACGAUAAUUCGUUGAACGGAUAUUUACACAAACGGACCGCUGAUUCUGCCAAGUGGCAAUUACGAUGGUUCGUCUUGUAUCAGAAUCUACUAUUCUAUUACGAAAACGAUACCUGCUCACGGCCAAGCGGUGUCGUUUUGCUAGAGGGCUGCUAUUGCGAUCGUCUUAUCACCGCUAAAGGGAAAGAACCUGAUAAACAACACUGCUUCGCGAUAUCAUACAGAAGGGAGAAUCAGCGACAAUACGAGUUGAAAGCUGCCACAGAAACGGACUGCAAAACGUGGAUCGAUGCGAUACGAGAAGCCAGCUUCAACAAAUUGCUCUUGCAAAAGGAGGAGCUAGAGCAAAAGCAUCUGCACCUGUUGCAGAUCGUUGAAAGUGAGAAAACGGCUAAGUGGCAGUAUACACAACAAUGCGAGGAGCUUGCAUCGGAAAUAAAAAAGCUUCGGGCUGAGUUAUGCGCUCUGAAAAAAGAACUGAGGCCAUCGGUCGCACCAGCAUUUCCAAUUCGUCCUGGUGUUCAAAGGACCUUGUCCCAAGGAACAGGAAGUUUAAUAAGCGGCACGGGAUAUCAUGCUACAUACGGAAUUCAUGGUUCACUCGUAUCUUGUUCUGUUGGUUUACAUGGUAUCACCGAGGGUUCCAUCGAAAUGCAGAAAAUUAAAAAGGUCCAAAGCUUUUUCCGCGGCUGGCUUUGCCGUAGACGUUGGAAACAAAUCGUCGAACAAUACAUCAAGAGCCCGCAUGCAGAGAGUAUGCGGAAACGGAACAGUCUGGUGUUUCAAAUGGUUGAGGCAGAAGAGGAAUACACGGAACAAAUGGAGAUAUUGGUUAGCUGUUUCCUGAGGCCUUUCAAAAUGGCUGCCAGUUCGAAGAAACCCCCAUGUAGUCACGAAGACGUGAAUAGUAUAUUUUUGAAUAGCGAAACAGUACUGUUCCUUCAUCAGAUCUUCCUGAAGGGUCUUACUUCUCGUAUGGAGAGCUGGCCCACUUUAGUUUUAGGUGACUUGUUCGACAUACUACUACCAAUGUUGUCAAUUUAUCAAGAAUACGUGCGCAACCACCAUUACAGCCUUCAAGUGUUGACCGAGUGCAAGCAAUCAUCGACCCCUUUUGUUGCAUUGCUCAAUAGAUUGGAGAAUAAGACUGCCUGUCAUGGACGAUCCCUUGAAACAUUUCUAACAUAUCCAAUGCAUCAGGUACCCAGAUAUAUAAUCACUUUGCACGAGCUUCUUGCGCAUACACCGCACGAUCACGUUGAACGAAAGAGCUUGCAGAACGCUAGGCAACAGCUGGAGGAUCUGUCACGGCAAAUGCAUGACGAGGUGAGCGAGACAGAAAAUUUGAGAAAAAAUUUGGCAGUCGAGAGAAUGAUCGUCGAGGGUUGUGACAUACUUUUGGAUGUUAAUCAAGUAUUCGUCAGGCAAGGUUCGCUCGUACAAAUUCUAGAUAAACCACGAGGAGCACGUAGCAGAUUGAGUGCAACAUUUGGUAGUAAAAGUUCGACCGAUAAGGAAGCUGUCAGACAGUGUUUCCUAUUUUCGAAUCAUUUGUUGCUUACUACGAGACAAUCAGACGACGAUGGCCGUUUGAAUUUAAUACCUCAAAUCGGCAAGAUACCAUUAUCGGAUGCUGUUCUAAUAGAGGAUCCCUCUGAUCAAGGUGUUACGGACGAUGACGAACUUUCAGUAUGCUCGAUGUCCAGCGGUAUCAGUGAAAGUAGCGGAAGUGGUACUGGCAAUACUAGUUCGCAACUUCAAAACCGUGACUUCAAGAUUGUACUUGAUGUGAAGUCAGGAGGUCCACAGGUUACCGUACAUCUGGUAGCACCAACUAUGCAGGAGAAGGCAGCUUGGAUAAGCGAUAUAAGUCAAUGCAUGGACAACGUACACUUCAACGAUUUAUUACAUAGCUCGUUGUCGGACACCAGUUCCGUCACGAUGCCGCAAUCGAUUAGGAACGAUCCUAAGUUAUUCAAGGACGACGUUGACAUUAGGUUCAGUCGUACAUUGAACUCAUGUAAAAUUCCACAAAUACGUUCGGCCACUCCUGAACGUCUACUUCAAAGGCUAACAGACUUACGAUUUCUUAGUAUUGAUUUCCUCAAUACAUUUUUGUUGACCUAUCGUGUAUUCACCGAUGGUGUUACGGUGUUGGAAGCAUUAAAGAAAGUGUUUUACGAGACUGAACCACCCGAUGCUCAAAUGCCUAGCGGCUCUCUCGCAUCGUUAGAUGUUUUGGGAAGUAACACGGGCGAGGGUCAAACUAACACGGAGGAACGAAGACGAAGCAGCUUUUCUCCUAGAAGAACGAGCGGUGCUAGUUCUGUCUCAGGAUACGAAUCAGAAAUUAGCGACCGUGAUGCUAAGGGACAUUACAUGUACGAGUUUAACACUGGUGCACAUAUGUUAAAUUCGAAGGCUCAUCGGCGUUGUCACAAAAGAUUGGAAGAGGAGCAACAACUAGGAUUGAUAACAGAGGCACCAUCGAUCAUGAAACGUAGUCCUACAUUGCAAUCGUCGAAUCCGUCCGUGGCUUCUCAAUCUCCGGCAACCUCACGAAAAAUCAACAUCCGCGUGGACAAUGAUACAGAAAGUGAUGGAUGCCAUCUCACGAUUCCAAAAGUUAUAGCCGUAUCAUCGAGUUCAGAAACGCUUACGGAUGCGACAGUGAUAAGCGCACCUUCUUCGCCGAGCAAUUUAAGCUCGGUUACGCUGAUUGGAUCGACGGGUUCUGGAUCUGGAUCUGAUCCUAGUCCUCAAGAGGGAGGCACAAUUUCUAGAGGUAUUUCAGAGGAAAUAGAUACGCCUGUAGCUACAGGAUCAGCUUCAAAGGAUGAAGUACAAUUUACGUAUGCCGAUCAACCGCUGGUGUCAGAUAAGUCAAUGGAUUCUUCUGAGAGCGCAGAGAAAACACCUACUACACCUAUUACACCAUCAACACCACGAAUAAAAGAUCACGAGAUUGAAAAAGAAAGAAAGGAAUGUACUGACGAUGAGAAGGCAUCAUCGACAAUUGUUCAGACUCAACAUACCUCUAAUCAAACUCAGUAUCAACAUCAGUAUCAGCAUCAACAUCAACAUCAGCAACAAUAUCAACAUCAUCAUCAACAUCAUAUGGAACAUAGAGCUUCCGUAGCUUCAGCGCCAGUUACUGGAAUGAGAAGUGGCUCGAUUUCGACCGUAGCGGGAAAUUAUUGGGCCAGUAGACGAUCGUUUCAAGAGAAUGAAUUAUCUUCAUCGCAAGGAAACUUUCAGCAUGAUCAACAGGUAUCCAGUAAAGCCGGCGUGGUAGUGACCAGUUUCCGACAAAGUCAUCGAAGCAUCGGACCCCAACCUAUUUGGAGCAGUACAUCAACGGCAGCAACUGCCUUCGCUAUAGCAACUUCAGCGUCGAGUAAUCCACCAGACAAAGUACCUGGUAGAUGCAGUGUUAGCGAUGGAAAUCAUCGAACUGGUUCAUGCCGUGAUAAAAAUAGAAGAAAGGAAUCGGUUAUGUCAACGGCAGCUACAAUGCGUGUACUCAACGUUCUUCGACAUUGGGUUUCAAAGCACGCGCAAGAUUUUGAAUUGGAUCAGAAAUUGAAAAACUUGACCAUAGAAUUCCUCGAGGAUAUCAUAUAUAGUCCUAAUCUUUUGCCGGCCGAACACAAAGCUGCUAGUCAAUUGUUACGAUUGAUCACCAAAGAGGAACCCGAAAAUAACAAAGUCGAUCUCAAGAAGCUAUUGACUCCACCCACGAUGGCAAGUAAGGAAAGUAUCGAGACUUUAUCAGCUCUAGAAAUUGCCGAACAAAUGACGUAUCUGGAUCAUCAGAUAUUCGUAUCGAUCGCUAGCGAAGAAUUUCUUGGCCAAGCAUGGAUGAAGACGGAUAAAGCGACACGUGCACCGCAUAUUCUAUUAAUGACGAAAAGAUUCAAUGAAGUCUCUCAAUUAGUCGUUUCAGAGAUCAUUCGUCGAACAAAUAUGUCGGGUAGGGUAGCAGCAAUUGAAAAAUGGGCAGCAGUUGCGGAUAUCAGCAGAGUAUUACACAAUUAUAACGGAGUAUUACAAAUUUGUGCUGCAUUUACCAAUACCAGUGUUUAUAGACUGAAAAAAACCUGGGAAAAGGUUUCAAAAACGACUAAACAAACCAUAGAAAAACUUCAAAAUAUUGUCUCCUCCGACGGACGAUUUAGAAAUUUGAGAGACGCAUUACACCGAUGCGAUCCACCUUGUAUUCCAUAUUUAGGACUUUAUCUUACCGAUCUUUCCUUCAUAGAGGAAGGUACACCGAAUUUCACCGAGGAAGGUCUAUUAAAUUUCUCCAAAAUGCGAAUGAUAGCACACGUGAUCCGUGAGAUCAGACAUUUCCAGCAAACACCAUAUAAUAUCGAGCUGAUAACAAAGGUUACGAAUUAUUUAUUGGAUACGUCGUUGCUCCUAAAUGAAAAGGAUCUUUAUCGCAUGUCCUUGGAAAUUGAGCCUCGUACAUCGAGAUUAAGUAAUACGACCUUGAUCAAUUUGCCGCCAUCUGUAAGUCAUGCGUCAAUGAAGUAAAAAGGCCGAUCUCAAGAGGAUAUGGAAAAGAAAUUAUUGAACGUUUCUAUCGAUACGUAAAAACCCUAAAUACAUAUAUAUUUAAUUCUAAGAUCAUCUAAAUGACUACUCGUAAUAUUACAAGCGAAUAGCCCAUUACUUUUGGAGUCUAAAACUCUUGAUAUAAUAAUGAUUAUUAUUAUUAUCGUCAUAAUAAUUAAUACGAUUAAUUUGAGAAUCCUCAACAAUUUAAUGCAACUUUCUAUUGAAGGAGAUAAAAAAAAAAAAGAAAAAAAAAAUACAAACAUGCAAAAAAAAGAAAAGAAAAAGGUAAAAAAAGAAAAAAAGCGUGUAUCUAAUGCGGCCAACGUUUUCUACCAAAUGUAUUUAACGAAACAAAGAAUUGAGUAAUAUUUGCGCUAUUAUUCUAAAGAAACCUAAAAUUAAUCGUAAGAUUAAUUGAUACAGGUAACUCUUACGUUUUACUAUUAGAUAAUUGUUCCUUUUUUUUUUCUCUCUUCUUUCUGUUUCUUCUGUCUUUGUUUUACUUCCUUUCCGUUUGCGCGAGUUUACGCGCGAGUCUGUCGGUCUUCAUUAAAAAAAAAAAAAAAAAAAAAAAAAAAAAAAAAAAAAAAAAAAGAAAAAAAAAAGAAACAGGAAAAAAGAGAACAAAAAUUACCAACAUUAUUUUACUAAUAAUAACAACAACAAACAAUAACAAAAGCAUAAUAUCGUAUUCCGAAUUAUUAAAAGGAAGAAAAAAGAAAAAAAAGAUGAAGAUGAAGAUGAAGAUGAAGAUGAAGAUGAAGAUGAAGA